rnacentral:pre_miRNA from 1 species
GUAGUAUUCCCUCCGUCCCAAAAUUCUUGUCUUUCAUUUGUUUAGAUACGGAUGUAUCUAACACUAAAAUGUAACUAGAUACAUCCGUAUUUAGACAAAUUUAAGACAAGAAUUUUGGGACGGAGGGAGUACAAA